GUCAGGUUUAAUAUCUCUGGAAUACGUCGUGAAGUUUAUAGCCUUUGCAGCAGCAGUACAAUGCAAUAGAAGAAAUCCAUGAAUUACAAUGCUGCCUGGCCCGCUGAGUUCCUCCAGCAUUUUGUGUGUGUCACUUGGAUUUCCAGCAUCUGCAGAUUUUCUCUUGUCUGUAGACAGACACAUGAACUAGCAUGGCAUGGAGCGACAAUGGUUCAAAGGAACAUCUAAACAAGCCUGAUGCAUGUUGGAAACAAGUCCUGUGGACUGAUGAAGUUAAAAUAGAACUUUUUGGCUGCAAUGAGCAAAGGUAUGUUUGGAGAAAAAAAGGGUGCAGAAUUUCA